rnacentral:lncRNA from 1 species
AAGAGAAACUGGAAGAAACAGCCAUUGAGGAGAAACUCGAAGAACCAGCAGUUGAGGAGAAACCUAACAAACCAGCGGUUAAAGAGACACCUGAAGAACCUGCAGUGAAAGAAACACCUGAACAACCAACGGUUGAAGAGAAACCUCAAGAACCAGCAAUUCAAGAGAAACCUCAAGAACCAACAGUUGAAAAGAAACCUGAAGAACCAACAAUUGAUGAAGAACUUGAAGAGCCAACAGUUGCGGAGAAACCUGAAGAACCAGCAGUUAAAGAAAACCAUGUAGAACCAGAAGUUGAUGAAAAACGUGAAGAACCACAAGUUGAAGAAAAACAUGAGGAACCAGCAGUUGAAGAAAAACCUAAAGAACCAAAAGUUGAGGAGAAACCGGAAGAACCAGCGGUUGAGGAGAAACCCGAAGAACCAGCAGUGAAAGAAACACCUGAAGAACCAGCGGUGAAAGAGACACCUGAGGAACUAGCAGUUGAAGAGAAACCUGAAGAACCAGUAGCUGACAAAAAACUUGAGGAACCAACAGUUGAGCAGAAACCUGAAGAACCAGCUGUUGAUGAAAAAGGUGAAGAACCGUCAGUUGAAGAAAUACCUGAGGAAUCGGCAGUUGAAAAUUUUGAAGAAGCAGCAGUAGAAGAGAAACCUGAAGAACCAACAGUUAAGGAAAAAACUGAAGAAGCACCCACUGAAGAAAAAC